rnacentral:rRNA from 1 species
UACGUAGGGUGCGAGCGUUAAUCGGAAUUACUGGGCGUAAAGCGUGCGCAGGCGGUUGGGCAAGACAGAGGUGAAAUCCCCGGGCUUAACCUGGGAACUGCAUUUGUGACUGCAAGGCUGGAGUGCGGCAGAGGGGGAUGGAAUUCCGCGUGUAGCAGUGAAAUGCGUAGAUAUGCGGAGGAACACCGAUGGCGAAGGCAAUCCCCUGGGCCUGCACUGACGCUCAUGCACGAAAGCGUGGGGAGCAAACAGG